CUUUUGACCAAUAAAAUAUAUCAGAAUCUGGUAGCCUGUCUGUGCUACCAGAGUAUGCUAAAGUGAGUGUUCAUCCUGGAAUGACGGUCAUUAUACUAUGCAUAACUUUAAUCUGAUUAUUGGAUUGUAAAUAGUAACAUGUUAGAAUACUUGUUACUGAAACAAGGGUCAGAUUAGAGUAACGCAUUACUGAUAUGUUGAUGGCAUAAAUAGUUUGACAUUUCUGUUACAGUUUCCGUUCACAAACUACUGUAAUCAGUCCAGUUAAAUCUAAACUUGGCAACUUUUUCUUUUUCAACCCUAAUAAAUGUGAUAUUCAGUUGACCUGUUAUGACACAGAUUUUGGCUGUCCGCCUCUCUGCUGCAUCGCUGUGGAAAACCUGGAGCAGCAGAGAAAUCUGAGGCUUAUAUAUGAAUGUUUACUGGUUUAAAAAAAACACUGGGGAUGUGGCUUAUAGUCCAGUGCGGCUCAUAGUUAGGAAAAUACGGACUAUAGAGCUUGGGAGCGUGACGUCACUGCUCUAGUCGGAGGGGUGUCAGCGCCAUCUUAAAUGCCACCGACAAAAACGACUCUCUCGCAGAUAUUUUAGCUAUGAGACGAACUUGCUGCGUUAUUGGGUGUAAUGUCCGAUCACACUACUGAAACGGUAAAAAGAUGGAAAACGGACUUUCGUUUCACUAUUUUCCUGCUUGGAAACAACGAGAGGAGGCUAAGUUAACGGAGCUAACUAAAAGAAGACGAAUGUCCUGGUGUCCGCGGCUGAGACGUCCUGAUGUUACCUUCUCCAACAUCCCCAGAUACCUACAAGUUUGCUCCAGACAUUUCCAUUCUGGCAAACCGACGUAUGAAAUGGAUGAGCUCAAUCCUGACUGGGUUCCAGUGCUGAAUAUGGGUCACUGAGGUAAACGACACAUCAGACCGACAUGGGCGUCAAUUAAAGAGGCGAUACAGCAAAACCAUCAACAAGUUACUGAGACUGUUUUUAUUAUUUACCCCAGAAGAGGUAAUUAAUG